ACUCAGUGAGUACAAGAGGUUUGUUUGAAACAGACCGCAAUGGAGAGAUCAGCGCCCAGGGAAGCGAGGGAACAGCAGGCUCCUUCCAGCAGCACAUCGGGAUGGGAGCCUGGGACACAGAGGGGGCUCCGAGACCCGGAUUGAUUCGGGGUGGUGUCCCUGUGUCUUCCUCCAGAUAAACACCUGAGGGACUAAGACACUGUAAUACUUCCUCAGUUCAAAGCAAAGAGUGACAAGCUGCCUCUAACAAACAGAAGGGUUGUGUUUCAAAUUCAAAGACGACAGAAGGUCUGACGAGUUAGAAUUGACAGAGGGUCAGUCGUGUUGUGUAGGAACACCAAGAGGUAUCUCUUCUGUCUUCCUCCAAGCAAGUACUCAAAGAACCAAGACAAUAUAAUAUUCCCUCGGUACAGAGCCAAGUGUGACCAGCUACUUCAAACAAACAGCAGGUUCCUCCGUGUGUUGUUUAUCCUAUUGGUGAGCUGUGGGAUGGGGUCAAACUCUCUCUUUUGGGGUACGAUAUUUUGCCUCACUGUUUGUUGUGUCUCAGACACAAGGAUGCUGCAGGGAUGCUGCAGCUAUACAAAACCCUGGUUCGACACCACUUGGAGCAGAUCUGGGCACCACACCUGAGGAAGGAUCGAUUGGCCUGGGAGGGAGCACAGCUUCACUGGUGGGUUGUGAAAAUCACUGGCUGGGCCGAGAAUUUAUUAUCCACCUUGAGAAGGAGGUAGUGAGCUGCCUUCUUGAAUCACUGCAGUUCCUGUGCUGUACGUUGACCCACGAUACCAUUAGAGAGAGAACUACAGGACUUUGACCCAGCAACACUAAAAAAUACUGAUAUAUUUCCAAGUUGGGAUGAUGCUGCCGACCUGCUGAGUUUCUGAAGUAAUUUUUUAGAAUGUUCCUGUCAAGACUUCAGCUGGACCCCAGUGAAGAACGAGCACAGAUCAAAGUGGAAGAAUGAAUUAUCUAGCUCUGUGAGGUUGAUGGAAUUCCUGGUCACAUUAAAUAUUGUUCCAAUCCCUGGUGAUCGUAACAAAGUAUCUGCCUUGGUGCUGGGACUGGAAGGACUCAAUGGCCAGCUCUCUCCUGUCUGAGCUAAAGUCGUAAUUCCCGCUGGUAUUGUUUAAGGCUUACCUUUGAAAGUACCUCGACACAAUACACAUUCUUGAACAAGACGAUUCCCAAUCGGAACCUCCAUUUUAUUGACUCUGGGCGUGAGGAAAACCCUAGCAACAGGAACUGGAACAAAACAAGACAAAGAGGAAAUAAAAGAUUGGAUGCUAAAAUUGUCUUUCUU